UACACUUUCAAAGAUGUCGGGUGACAGAAUUUGCAAGGUGUAAUCUAACCCUAGUCACUAAUGUGCCAACGAAGAAAUGUCAGCAAGAAACAGGAACAGUGUAAGAAAACUCGUUAAGAAUAGCAAAGAAACAGGAACAAGAACAAGACUACCAAUUAAAAGCCUGCUAGUAAACUCAGAGAAAGGAAAACAAGAAAAGCACACUGUCACCCUGUUAUGACAGAACUAUAAAAUACCAGUACCAGAGAGAGACAUCAUGAAUUAAUUGAAUUAAAGAAUAUCAAAGAAGAAUCAGAAUAUCCAAGGAUAUAACAGGCGACAAACAAGGAGGCGGCAAUAAAAUAAAAUAAAUAGUGAUAAACAGUGAUAACGCGGCACAAAUAAUUAAAUAUAAAAUAUAAGUAUAUUGAAUAUAGAAUAACCGCAUCAAAGCAAACCAUAAAUAUAUUAAUUUAAUUUACAACACUUUGUACAACCAUAAAUAUAAAAUUAAACUAAAUCAUAACAGUAACUUUAAUUCAGUUAAUUCAGAAUGAAUGAACAAUGACGGAAUGAAAGAAUGAACGAAUUAUCAGUGAAGUUAUUAAUAAAGAAAUUAAAGAGAAUGAAGUGAAUAGGAAGCGUAAAGUAUAAAGUGAAAGCCACGACCAGCAUAAUGUAAUAAUAUAGGGUAAAGCAACGCAGUGUAAUAUAAUGCAAUGUAAUAUAAUAUAAUGUAAAACAAAUGAUAUAUAAUAAAAUAAAAUAGAAUAUAAAAUACAAGAAGUGGACUCAAAAUAUAACCGUAAAGCUUAUUAACUAAAUACUCUAUUUCUUUACCAAAGCAAAUUAUAUGUUAAAUGGUAAAUGGUGGAUGAUAAGUGAUCAUGUCAAUGCAAAUGUAAAUAGAACCAAUUAUUUCAUGACAUUUCAAAAUAAGGAAAUAAACAACACGUAAAUAAAUCAAAUCAAAUGUAAACUGUGUAAUUCAGUUAAACACUAUGCUACUGCAUAGUGUAAGAAUGAAUGAAUCAAUCAAUCAAUAAGUAAGUAAAUAUUUUAAACUAAUAUUAAAAAUGGUGAAAUUAAACAGAACCCGCGCAGCAUGAAAGCAUUUGAAUAGACAAAACCACUCAUCAUCACAGAAGAAUAGCAAAAUUAAUUAAGAUAAAUGAAAUCAAAUCCCCAACCUCAACUGAUCAGAAUAAAUAAAUGAAUGAAUAACGAAUAAUGAAUAAGUGAAUGAAUGAAUGAAUGAAUAAAUCAAGGAAGAGAGAAACAGCAGAAUACCAGCAAGUACGAGUAAGCAAACCCUAAUGCACCAAAGCCACGGUGUCAAAAUUAGCAUGCAAGGACUAGCUAAAAGGAACGACAUUGAAUAAGAGAACUGAAUUGCAACUGAAAAGGAAAAGAAAAGAAAGGAUACAAGGUAAGAAACAGCCCACCAUCAUGGAAGAGCAACAUUAUGACCAGAGAAAGACGUCAUGAAUAAGCUGGAUUAAAGGAAAUCAAAGGAACACCAAAACAUUAAUGAAUAUCAAGGAUGCACAGGGAAAUCAAGAACAAAUCAAGAAGCGAUAAUGAAACAAAAUGUAUAACAGCGAUAACGCGACCUAAUAAAUUAGAGUAAUAAUAAAUAUAUUAAAUACAAUAUAAAAUAAAGAAUAACCAUGGAAGCAAAUCAUAAAUAUAUUAAUACUAAUACAAUCUACAGAACUUUGUACCAUCGUGUGUUAAAAUAAACCAAAUCAUAACAGUUACCUUAGUUCAAUUUUAUUCAGGACGAAUGAACAGUGACAGAGCGAAGGUAGUAAUCAACAUAGUAUGAUAAUGUAAUAAUGUAAUGUUCCGCAAUAUAACGUAGUGUCACGUAAUAUAAUGUAAAACAGAAGGUAUUAUACUAAAGUAAAAUACAAAAUACAAAUACAAGAAGUGUGUUUAAUGAAAUAAUAUAGUACAAUCGUACAGAUUAUUAGCUACAAUAUUCCAUCUCUUAACCAGAAUAGCCUACAAGUUAAAUCAUAAAUUAUAAACUACAAAUUAUAAAUUAUAAAUCAUAAACCGUAAAUAAUUGUGGACACCGCUUGUCAGCACAAAGGAAAGAAAUUAGAGUAAAAUAAAUUAAACCCUUUGACUAUUAAUCAGAUAAACAAUGAGCAAAGAACGAAUGAAUGACUGAAUAAAUAAAUAGUAAUGAGUAAAUAAUAAGUGAAUAACGAAAGAUUGAAUAUAUGACUGCGAGCACAACUAUAGAAAUUAAGAAACUGGGAAAUUGAGGAACCGAGAAAUUGAGUAAAUAAAGAAAUAAGAAAAAGCGAAGAGGAAGUGAAAAUGAAAAUGGGAAAGUGUACUGCAAGCCGUAAAGUGUAAUGUGCAAGCAAAAUAACCAGCACAAUACACUGUGAUAUAAAAGAAAAGAAAAUAAAGAAUGAAUGAUACCGUGAAGGUAUAGCAUAGAUACAGUGAAGUGAAUUUCAAAAUAAUAUAACCAUAGAUAACAUAAACCAUAGAAUAGACACCUUCAAAGAUGUCGGGUAACAGAAUAUACAUAACCUUAACCCUAACCCCUAAUGUGUCAAAACAAGGAUUGUCAACAGAAAGCAAGAAGAGUGUAAGAAGACUCGUUAAGAAUGGGAACAAGAACAAGAUUACCUACUAAAAAGCCUGAUAGUCAACUCAGAAAAAGGAAACAAGCAAGAAAAGCACACUGUCACCCUAUUAUGACAGAACUAUAAAAUACCAAUACCUGAGAGAGACAUCAUGAAUUAAUUGAAUUAACGAAUAUCAAAAAAGAAUCAGAAUAUCCAAGGAUAUAACAGGUGACAACCAAGGAAACGACAGUAAAAUAAAAUAAAUAGUGAUAAACAGUGAUAACGCGGCACAAAUAACUAAAUAUAAAAUAUAAGUAUAUUGAAUAUAGAAUAACCGCAUCAAAGCAAACCAUAAAUAUAUUAAUUUAAUCUACAACACUUUGUACCACCAUAAAUAUAAAAUUAAACUAAAUCAUAACAGUAACUUUAAUUCAGUUAAUACAGAAUGAAUGAACGAAUUAUCAGUGAAGUUAUUAAUAAAGAAAUUAAAGAGAAUGAAGUGAAUAGGAAGCGUAAAGUAUAAAGUGAAAGCCACGACCAGCAUAAUGUAAUAAUAUAGGGUAAAGCAACACAGUGUAAUAUAAUGCAAUGUAAUAUAAUAAUGUAAAACAAAUGAUAUAUAAUAAAAUAAAGUAGAAUAUAAAAUACAAGAAGUGGACUCAAAAUAUAACCGUAAAGCUUAUUAACUAAAUACUCUAUUUCUUUACCAAAGUAAAUUAUAUGUUAAAUGGUAAAUGGUGGAUGAUAAGUGAUCGUGUCAAUGCAAAUGUACAUAGAACCAAUUAUUUCAUGACAUUUCAAAAUAAGGAAAUAAACAACAUGUAAAUAAAUCAAAUCAAAUGUAAACUGUGUAAUUCAGUUAAACACUAUGCUACUGCAUAGUGUAAGAAUAAAUCAAUCAAUCAAUCAAUAAGUAAAGUAUUUUAAACUAAUAUUUAAAGUGGUGAAAUUAAACAGAACCCGCGCAGCAUGAAAGCAUUUGAAUAGACAAAACCACUCAUCAUCACAGAAGAAUAGCAAAAUUAAUUAAGAUAAAUCAAAUCAAAUCACCAACCUCAACUGAUCAGAAUAAAUAAUGAAUGAAUAACGAAUAAUGAAUAAGUGAAUGAAUGAAUAAAUGAAUAAAUCAAGGAAGAGAGAAACAACAGAAUACCAGCAAGUACGAGUAAGCAAACCCUAAUGUGCCAGAGCCACGGUGUCAAAACUAGCAUGCAAGGACUAGUUAAAAGGAACGACAUUGAAUAAGAGAACUGAAUUGCAACUGAAAAGGAAAAGAAAAGAAAGGAAACAAGAAACAGCCCACCAUCAUGGAAGAGCAACAUUAUGACCAGAGAGAGACAUCAUGAAUAAAUUGAAUUAACUAAUAUCAAAAGAACAUCAAAACGUCAACGAAUAUCAAGGAUGCACAGGAAAAUCAAGAACCAAAUCAAGAGGCGAUAAUGAAAUAAAAUAAAUAUCAAUAACAGCGAUAACGUGUCAUAAUAAACUAGAAUAUAUAAAUAUAAAUAUAC